rnacentral:rRNA from 1 species
UACGUAGGGGGGCAAGCGUUGUCCGGAAUUAUUGGGCGUAAAGAGCGUGUAGGCGGUCCGGUAAGUCAGCUGUGAAAGUCAAGGGCUCAACCCUUGAAUGCCGGUUGAUACUGUCGGGCUAGAGUCCGGAAGAGGCGAGUGGAAUUCCCGGUGUAGCGGUGAAAUGCGCAGAUAUCGGGAGGAACACCAGUGGCGAAGGCGGCGCUCUGGAACAUUUCUGACGCUGAGGCUCGAAAGCGUGGGGAGCAAACAGG